rnacentral:rRNA from 1 species
UGGGGAAUAUUGCACAAUGGGCACAAGCCUGAUGCAGCCAUGCCGCGUGUGUGAAGAAGGCCUUCGGGUUGUAAAGCACUUUCAGCGAGGAGGAAGGUGGUGAGCUUAAUACGCUCAUCAAUUGACGUUACUCGCAGAAGAAGCACCGGCUAACUCCGUGCCAGCAGCCGCGGUAAUACGGAGGGUGCAAGCGUUAAUCGGAAUUACUGGGCGUAAAGCGCACGCAGGCGGUUUGUUAAGUCAGGUGUGAAAUCCCCGGGCUCAACCUGGGAACUGCAUUUGAAACUGGCAAGCUAGAGUCUCGUAGAGGGGGGUAGAAUUCCAGGUGUAGCGGUGAAAUGCGUAGAGAUCUGGAGGAAUACCGGUGGCGAAGGCGGCCCCCUGGACGAAGACUGACGCUCAGGUGCGAAAGCGUGGGGAGCAAAACAGGAUUAGAUACCCUGGUAGUCCACGCUGUAAACGAUGUCGAUUUUGGAGGUUGUGCCCUUGAGGCGUGGCUUCCGGAGCUAACGCGUUAAAUCGACCGCCUGGGGAGUACGGCCGCAAGGUU